AACGCAGGUGGUUUGGUAAGUCAGGGGGUGAAAGUCCACAGCUUAACUGUGGCACUGCCUCUGAUACUGCCUUUCUUGAGUAGAGUAGGGGGAAGUGGAAUUCCGAGUGUAGAGGUGAAAUUCGUAGAUAUUCGGAGGAACACCGGUGGCGAAGGCGGCUUCCUGGACUCUAACUGACACUCAUGUUCGAAAGCGUGGGUAGCAAACAGGAUUAGAUACCCUGGUAGUCCACGCCCUAAACGAUGGGCACUAGGUGUGGGAGGUAUCGACCCUUCCGUGCCGCAGCUAACGCAUUAAGUGUCCCGCCUGGGGAGUACGGCCGCAAGGUUGAA
rnacentral:rRNA from 1 species